rnacentral:lncRNA from 1 species
UAGAAGGGAUUUAGAUGUUCCAUUGAUAGUGUUAAUGAAAGCCGCACCAUCAACCAAGGCCAAAGCCAGACCUUAAGAAAAUGAAAGCCAGAAAGCCUAUGAAUCUAAAGUGGCAGAAGCUACGAGGCUAAACAACCCUUGCCCAACUAGAGCGGAACUAUCGCCGGUGCUUAUGAAUAUAUUUUUGCAUUCAUUUGAUCUUAUCUAUUG